AUUGAACGCUGGCGGCAUGCCUUACACAUGCAAGUCGAACGGCAGCGCGGGCUUCGGCCUGGCGGCGAGUGGCGAACGGGUGAGUAAUGCAUCGGAACGUGCCCUGGAGUGGGGGAUAACUAGUCGAAAGAUUAGCUAAUACCGCAUACGAUCUAAGGAUGAAAGUGGGGGACCGCAAGGCCUCAUGCUCCUGGAGCGGCCGAUGUCUGAUUAGCUAGUUGGUGGGGUAAAAGCCUACCAAGGCGACGAUCAGUAGCUGGUCUGAGAGGACGACCAGCCACACUGGGACUGAGACACGGCCCAGACUCCUACGGGAGGCAGCAGUGGGGAAUUUUGGACAAUGGGGGAAACCCUGAUCCAGCAAUGCCGCGUGUGUGAAGAAGGCCUUCGGGUUGUAAAGCACUUUUGUCAGGAACGAAACGGUGAGGGCUAAUAUCCCUUGCUAAUGACGGUACCUGAAGAAUAAGCACCGGCUAACUACGUGCCAGCCGCCGCCGUAAAAC
rnacentral:rRNA from 1 species